rnacentral:rRNA from 1 species
AACGUAGGAGGCGAGCGUUAUCCGGAUUUACUGGGCGUAAAGCGCACGCAGGCGGCCGGGCCAGUCGGAUGUGAAAGCUCCUGGCUUAACUGGGAGAGGCCAUUCGAAACUGCCGGGCUUGAGGUUGGGAGAGGGGUGCGGAAUUCCCGGUGUAACGGUGGAAUGUGUAGAUAUCGGGAGGAACACCAGUGGCGAAAGCGGCACUCUGGCCCACACCUGACGCUGAGGUGCGAAAGCGUGGGGAGCAAACAGG